ACGCGAAGAACCUUACAGCCCUUGACAUCCUCGGAACUUGUCAGAGAUGACUUGGUGCCUUCGGGAACCGAGAGACAGGUGCUGCAUGGCUGUCGUCAGCUCGUGUCGUGAGAUGUUGGGUUAAGUCCCGCAACGAGCGCAACCCUUGUCCCUAGUUGCCAGCAUUCAGUUGGGGACUCUAAGGAGACAAUCCCGCACUCGCGGGAGGGAAGGUGGGGAUGAUGUCAAGUCAGUAUGGCCCUUACGGCCUGGGCUGCACACGUGCUACAAUGCCCGGUACAGUGGGAUGCUACUCCGCGAGGAGAUGCCAAUCCCCAAAGCCGGGCCCAGUUCGGAUUGGAGUCUGCAACUCGACUCCCAUGAAGUCGGAAUCGCUAGUAAUCGCUGAUCAGAGGUCCGC
rnacentral:rRNA from 1 species